GGAAAGAUGGCUGAGCGGUCGAAAGCGUCUGUCUACUAAACAGUUGUACAUUUAUUGUACCGUUGGUUCGAAUCCAACUCUUUCCGCCA
rnacentral:tRNA from 1 species